CCUACGGGAGGCUGCAGUGAGGAAUAUUGGUCAAUGGACGAGAGUCUGAACCAGCCAAGUAGCGUGAAGGAUGACUGCCCUAUGGGUUGUAAACUUCUUUUAUAUGGGAAUAAAAUGUGCCACGUGUGGGAUGUUGUAUGUACCAUAUGAAUAAGGAUAGGCUAACUCCGUGCCAGCAGCCGCGGUAAUACGGAGGAUCCGAGCGUUAUCCGGAGUUAUUGGGGUUAAAGGGAGCGUAGGUGGCUUGUUAAGUCAGUUGUGAAAGUUUGCGGCUCAACCGGAAAAUUGCAGUUGAAACUGGCAGUCUUGAGUCCCGUAGAGUUGGGCGGAAUUCGUGGUGUAGCGG
rnacentral:rRNA from 1 species